CAACUUCCGAGGCGCCCUCAUUGCCAGCCGGACCCCAGCCUCCGACAGGUUCGGGCGCCCUGCUUGCCCCGUGCUUCGCCGGCCCCCGCCCAGCGCCCGGCCCCUCCGGCUCCACUCCGCUCGCUCGGUCGGUCGCUCCGACGCCAUGGACACGUUUUGGUGGCGCGCAGCUUGGGGACUCUGCCUCGUGCAGCUGAGCCUGGCGCAGAUCGAUCUGAAUAUAACCUGCCGAUAUGCAGGCGUAUUCCACGUGGAGAAGAAUGGUCGCUACAGCAUCUCCAAGACUGAGGCUGCCGACCUCUGCAAGGCCUUCAAUAGCACGCUGCCCACCAUGGCCCAGAUGGAGGUGGCCCGGAGCAUAGGGUUUGAGACCUGCAGGUACGGGUUCAUAGACGGGCAUGUGGUGAUUCCCCGGAUCCACCCCAAUUCCAUCUGUGCUGCGAACAACACAGGGGUUUACAUCCUCACAUCCAACACCUCCCAGUAUGACACGUACUGCUUCAAUGCCUCAGCUCCACUUGGAGAAGACUGUACCUCAGUCACGGACCUGCCCAAUGCCUUUGAAGGACCCAUUACCAUAACUAUUGUAAACCGCGAUGGCACCCGUUAUACCAAGAAAGGCGAAUACAGAACGAACCCCGAAGACAUCAACCCCAGCAUCGUGAGCCCCAGCAGCCCUCCUGAUGAUGAGAUGAGCAGUGGCUCCCCCAGCGAGAGAAGCACGUCAGGAGGCUACAGCAUCUUCCACACGCACCUCCCAACUGCGUACCCACCCCCAGACCAAGACAGCCCCUGGGUCUCCAGCAAACCAGAGAAUACCUCGGAUACCACUCAGAUACUAAAGCAAGUCACCGCAACAGGUACGGAUUCAAGUAUCAUCUCAGCAGGCUGGGAGCCAACUGAAGAAAAUGAAGAUGAAAGAGACAGACACCCCAGUUAUUCUGGAUCAGGCAUUGAUGAUGAUGAAGAUUUUAUCUCCAGCACCAUUUCAACCACACCACGGGUUUUUACCCACCCACAACAGAACCCGAAUUGGAUCCAAAGGAACCCAGACCAUUCGAAUCCAGAAGCAUCACCUCAGACAACCACAAGGAUGACUGAUGUGGACAGAAGUAGCACCAGUGCUUAUGGAGAACGCUGGACCCAGGAACCGCACUCUUCUCUCAGUCACCAUGGGUAUCAGGAUGAAGAGGAGACCCCGCAUCCUACAAGCACAAAUACAGACACCAGCCCUAGUACAACGCUUCAGCCUUCUGCAGAUCCAAACACGAGUUCGGUGGGAGACUUGGACAGGACAGGACCUCUCUCAAUGACAACUCAGCAGAGUGAUACUCACAGCUUCUCUCCAUCGCAUGGCGGCUUAGAAGAAGACAAAGGCCACUCAACGACUGCUACUCCAACAUCUAUCAAUAGGAACGAUGGAAGAAGAGGUGGAAAUCUUCCUGAAGAUGCAACUACUUCAGUGGAAGGUUACACUCAUUCUCCAGAUACAAAUGAAUACACAACCCUCACCCCAAUGACCCCCACUAAGACUGGGUCCCCUGGAGUUACUGAAGUUACUGUUGUUGGAGAUUCCACCUCUAAGGCUGAUCUUACUUUACCAGGAGACUAUGGCUCGUCCCACGACCCCAGUGGAAGGUCCUAUACAACUCAUGCAUCUGAAUCAGCUGGACACUCAAGUGGGAGUGAAGACCAUGGGGCAAACACAACCUCAGGUCCUAUACGGAAACCUCAAAUUCCGGAAUGGCUGAUCAUCUUGGCAUCUCUCCUGGCCUUGGCUUUGAUUCUCGCGGUUUGCAUUGCUGUCAACAGUAGGAGAAGGUGUGGGCAGAAGAAAAAACUGGUGAUCAACAAUGGGAAUGGAACCAUGGAGGAGAGAAAGCCUAGCGGACUCAACGGAGAAGCUAGCAAGUCUCAGGAGAUGGUGCAUUUGGUGAACAAGGGGUCGUCAGAGACCCCAGACCAGUUUGUGACGGCAGAUGAGACACGGAACCUGCAGAAUGUGGAUAUGAAGAUUGGGGUGUAACACCUACUCUGUGACCUUGGAAAUAAACCACCAUUGGAGACACAACCAUUACAGGGAGCUGGGACACUUCACAGAUGCAGUGUGCUACUGAUUGUUUCAUUG
rnacentral:lncRNA from 1 species